GACAGAGGGGGCAAGCGUUGCUCGGAAUUACUGGGCGUAAAGCGUGCGUAGACGGUUAUUUAAGUCGGGUGUGAAAGCCCCGGGCUCAACCUGGGAAUUGCAUUCGAGACUGAAUAGCUAGGGUACGGUAGAGGGAAGUGGAAUUUCCGGUGUAGCGGUGAAAUGCGUAGAUAUCGGAAGGAACAUCAGUGGCGAAAGCGACUUCCUGGACCAGUACCGACGUUCAGGCACGAAAGCGUGGGGAGCAAACAGG
rnacentral:rRNA from 1 species